rnacentral:rRNA from 1 species
CUUACACAUGCAAGUCGAGGGGUACGACUCCGUCUACGGAUGGAGGUCGACGACCGGCGCACGGGUGAGUAACGCGUAUGCAACCUACCUUUUACAGGAGGAUAGCCCAGAGAAAUUUGGAUUAAUACUCCAUAGUACUAAUGAAUCACCUGGUUUAUUAGUUAAAACUCCGGUGGUAAAAGAUGGGCAUGCGUGUCAUUAGCUAGUUGGUAAGGUAACGGCUUACCAAGGCGAAGAUGACUAGGGGUUCUGAGAGGAAGAUCCCCCACACUGGUACUGAGACACGGACCAGACUCCUACGGGAGGCAGCAGUGAGGAAUAUUGGUCAAUGGGUGAGAGCCUGAACCAGCCAUGCCGCGUGAAGGAAGACUGCCCUAUGGGUUGUAAAACUUCCUUUCUGCAGGAAGAAAUCACUCUACGUGUAGGGUGUUGCCGGUACUGCAGGAAUAAGCAUCGGCUAACUCCGUGCCAGCAGACGCGGUAAUACGGAGGAUGCAAGCGUAAUCCGGAUUUAUUGGGUAAAAAGGGUGCGUAUGCGGGCUUGUAAGUCAGUGGUGAAAUGCUGUGGCUUAACCAUAGAAUUGCCAUUGAAACUGCAAGUCUUGAGUACAGUUGAGGUGGGCGGAAUGGUAAUGUAGCGGUGAAAUGCAUAGAUUUUACUCAGAACUCCGAAUGCGUAGGCAGCUUGUUUAACUGUAACUGACGCUGAUGCACGAAAGCUUGGGGAGCUAACAGGAUUAGAUACCCUGGUAGUCCACGCUGUAAACGAUGAGCAAUGGUUGUUGGCAAUACACCGUCAGCGACUGAGCGAAAGUAUUAAGUGCUCCACCUGGGGAGUACGUCGGCAACGAUGAAACUCAAAGGAAUUGACGGGGGCCCGCUACAAGCGGAGGAACAUGUGGUUUAAUUCGAUGAUACGCGAGGAACCUUACCUGGGCUUAAAUGUAGAGUGCAAUUGCUUGGAAACAGGCAUUUUCUUCGGAACUCUUUACAAGGUGCUGCAUGGUUGUCGUCAGCUCGUGCCGUGAGGUGUCGGGUUAAGUCCCAUAACGAGCGCAACCCCUAUUGUUAGUUACCAGCACGUAAUGGUGGGGACUCUAGCAAGACUGCCGGUGUAAACCGUGAGGAAGGUGGGGAUGACGUCAAAUCAGCACGGCCCUUAUGUCCAGGGCUACACACGUGUUACAAUGGCAAGUACAAAGAGCAGCCACCUGGCGACAGGGCGCUAAUCUCAAAAGCUUGCCUCAGUUCGGAUCGAAGUCUGCAACUCGACUUCGUGAAGGUGGAUUCGCUAGUAAUCGCGCAUCAGCCAUGGCGCGGUGUAUACGUUCCCGGGCAUUGUACACACCGCCCGUCAAGCC